rnacentral:lncRNA from 1 species
UGUGUGUUGGUUGUAUUUGAGAAAGUUCAAGAUUGUUAAAAGGAAGAAUGAAUACUAAUGAUAGCUUAAGGUUAGCCAGUUUAUAGCACUCAAUGCACCUAUUCCUUAGUCGCUUUUAUAAAACCAUGUAUAAUUUUAUUUUCUAUUUUUGUGAAUUUUUAUGAAUUUUUAUGAAUUUUUAUAUAUUUUCUGUAUUGUAUACUUAUUAUAUUAAUAAAAUGAUAUAAAUAUUUGUUGUGAAUCUUUUGUUUUUGUAAAAUUUUAUGAGUUUUUAUUAUUUGUUUUGAAUUUUUAUGAAUUGUUUUUAUAUUUUAUAUUUUAUAUUUUCUUUAUUUUAUAUUUAUUUUAUGAAUAG